rnacentral:lncRNA from 1 species
ACUCCACCGAGGUCGUCGCCUAAGCCGGAGGAGCCGCCAGUUUGGGCUCGGGGAGGGAGGCGGAGAGGGAGUGGCGGCCGCGGUGGAGCGGCGUGGGCUCCGCACCAGCAGCUCGGUGCCAGGCUCGGUACCUGGCAGGCCGGGCGCGCCUCGCAGGCCGCCCGGGGCGCGGAGGGUGUGAGCGCGCGCGCCCCCUCCGUGCCCGCUCAGCCUCGCGCGCGUCUCGGGGGAGGCUCCGCCGAGAGGCGCCCGGGGAGCCCGCAGCCUCAGUCCUGCCGCCGGCGGAGCUUUGUGCGGCGGCGGCUCCGAGUCCCACCUGCUGGCGGCGGAGAGACAAGGAAGAGGAAGAAGGAGGAGGAGGAGGGGAAAGAGGCGGCGGCGCCAGCCCACUCCUCUCGCCGGCGCCCACUCCCGGGGGCUCCGCAGCCCCCCGCUCUCGGCCUGCACCAGCUCCCCGCCCCCGGCCCGGCCCGGCCUCCCGGCCACACCGCGGCAGCCGCCGCUGCAGCCCCCAGCCUUGCCCGGCGGGGCCCGGCCCGGCCCGGCCCGGCCGCCGCCGCCGCCGCCGCCGCCCGGAGCCGCCGGCGAGUUUGAGGGGAGCGCGGGGCGCGCGGCGCCGCUUCAAUGUGCCCGGGAGCCGCCUCGGCGCCCCAGCCCCGCUGAACAGCCCCGGCGCGGCUGCCCUAGAGGACGAGCGAGGAGGCGCGGAGAGCCCCGGAGAAAGAGAGCCAGCGAGAAAGAGCGAGCCCGACAGCGAGCGCAGGGAGCGACACCAUGCCCGGCUGGAAGAAGAAUAUCCCUAUCUGCUUGCAGGCAGAGGAGCAGGAGAGAGCAAUUACUUGAUGAUGCACGUGUCAAGAGUCAUUCUACAUGCUGGAGAUACCGUGGUACAGAAGACAGAGGAGGUCCUUGCCCUAGUGGAGUCAGCAAGCUAAAAAGAAAACAGAAAAACUAGUGGCAAGUACAAUGAAGAAAACCAGAUCAAAGUUUUGGGAUGGAGUGGUGGAGGUGUUGAGAAGGGUGAGCGUUUGAGAUACAGUGUUCCUUCUUGGAGAACAGGAUGUUGGGAUGACCCUGAUUGAAGAGAUGGAGUCAUUGUAUAAUCUGGAUAGGAGGCUGGGGCAUAAAGCCUCCAGAGAUAAAAGUGUAUUCAUUCUAAUACAGUACUUCCCUUGCCAUCUUCUGGAUGGCUUGUUUCUUUGACAUUCAUUUGUUAAAUCAGUUUUUUUUUUUAAUUCCGAAUCCAUUUUUUCCUAGGAAUAAUGCACUCAGAAUAGGAAAAAUGUAGAUUUAAAACCAGGCCUAAUCAUAAAGUCUUUUUGCAAUAUGUCACUAACAGGUAAAAGACGACUGUGGCCAAAGGGGACAUAGUUACUGGAGAAAACCUUUAUUUUGCAGGACUGCUGUUGCUAUUCACAUAGAGGAGUCUUCUGUUAGUAUACUAUUGCAAAGUUAGGGAUUGUCUAAAGUGGGGGUGGUGAUUUGGGGGUAUGAAAAGAUGGUUUGCUCUGUCUGUAGAAUAGUGUUAGUAAGUGUGUCAUAAUCUUCUCUGUAUUUGGAUCCUAAACAUCCAUUGAGCAUGAUUCUUAAGCUAAAAGUACACUUACCAUGUCAUCAGAGGAUACUAAAAUGUAUGAUUGCUUUAUAGUCGUUGUUUGUUUUCUGUAGAACAAAAUUAUUUUAUGCUUCUCCCUAGUCUUUCAAGUGCACUCCAUUAUAAAGAUUCUUAAUGGCUUUUGUAUGUCCAAGGAAAGAUUAUAUGUCAAAGAAAUUAUUUCCAGAAAGUGCACAAAGUUGUACAGGGUCUUUCAGGUUACAGCCCACAGCAUCACCAUCUUCUGUGCUUUGUGGAGAAUUAGACCCUUUAUAUUGCUAUUGUAGAUUAUGUUACUAUCAAUAGAUAAACAGGGAAUUGUAUGUUGCUUGUUGGAAUAAGUUAUUUUCUACAUAACUUACUAUGUGUUAAAUAUGAUUCAGAGGAUUGGACUUUUAUGUUUAAAAAUAAAUUUAAUGUAAGAUGAAAUUCCUGUUUUCUGAUAAUUAUCUGAACUGCUUUUCACGAUUGAGUCUAGCCAACAAACUUAAAAUUUAUGUGUAGUUUCAGAACAGUGGCAAACAUUUUGUGAAAACAGGUGCUUUUGAUUACUGCUAAGCUGGUCUUAUGUUUUCACAUUGUGCUUCUGCUGGCAGUAGUAUGUGGUUCCUGAAUUUUCAGGUGCAGAAAAUAACAUUUGAUUUGUGAAGCCCCAUUUUUGAGAUAAAACUAGGCACAUGUCAAAUGUAAGCAAUAUGGAAUGUGACGCCAACAGUGGCAUCCUUGCUGAUUCUAAAAAUUGGAUAUAGGUUAACAAAUUGCUGUAGUGGAAAGUUUUACAAAUGAUUACAGCUCUGGUUAAUACUUGUUUUUGUAAACUGUAAUCUGCCUGCAAAAAAUUAACUUCUGCAAGUAUUUUGAAGACAUGAAUAUGAACUUAUACCUUUAAAAACUUUGCUCAGUACAUUUCACCCUGCUUAUAAUCGUGAUCACUUUUAGGGGAACAGCUGUUAAAAUUUAGGGUGAGAUGUACGGGUGCUCAGCAGUUGGUUGUAAAUUUCCACUUUAUGGAUUUACAGUGGUCUUUCAUUAUUGAAGUAGAAUUGGGGAAUCCCCAUCACCUUAAAACUGUUAUUUAUGGCUGGUUUUAUCUACCAAUGCCAAGUUUUCAUGAUUUAUAGGAACAAACACCUCUCUCUUUUAUUCUUAAAAAUUCCAAAUCUUCUGUGUAAUGGUGUUUUUAGCACUAUUUGGAAGAUGAUCAGGCAUAAAAGGAAUUUUAAACCUAAGAACUGUUGGGAUCUUCCAAUCCAGCCCUCUGAUUUUACAUAAAUUUAAUAUCUCUAACAACAGAGUAAUUUGCUCAGUAAUUGUUUAAGGCUUAAAGAGAGAAAAUGUCUAACUCAAGAUUACACAGCUCAGAAUAGAAGUAACGUAAGUAUUUAAGUCUGUGAACUUGGUGUAUUUUUAAUCGUAUCCUCCCCCAUACACUUCCCAUUGCUUCAAACACUGCCUUCAUGUGAAAUUUCCCACAACCCUGCUCACUCUCCCAAGGGUUAGCCCUGGAGCCCCUGUGUAUGUGAAUGGCACCCCCAAUUACUCCAUCGUUUUGUGAUUACUUACAUACAGUGUCCUUUUGUGAGUGCCAUAUCCUCAUCUUUGUAUUCCAGCAUCUAAGACAGUGCCUGGACCAUCUAUAGAUGUUUCUGUCUUAAAAAGCUGUGAAGAAGACUGAUUCCCAUAAGCCACCCACAGAAACCUAUCUCAUUACUUUGUAGUCACUAUUCGUGUAUUUGAAAUGAUUAGGAAGUUUAGAAAACCAUACUCUGGCUGUAAGAAUCUUAGUUUGCCAUAUCAAUGAUUCCGAUGCUAUUCCUCUCCAUCUACUACUCUGUGUAGCACAGGAAAACACAGCUCCUGCAACAGAUGUUUUGAGAAUCCAAAUGCAAGGAAAAUAGAAGGGGAAAGCAGUGUUUAUACUUUAUAAGAUUCUUAUAGACCUACCUUUUUCUUUUCAACACAUGCUACGAAGUUUAUUAUGCUUGAUCUCCUGAGAUCAGUGCAUGCUAGGCCCUAUGCUUCGUAAUUUAUGUGCAUUAGCUCAUUUAAUCCACACAACUCCAUGAGACUAAUACUAUUAUCUUUAUUUUCCAGAUAAAACUUGAGCCAAAUGAGCUUAAUUUUCUCAAUGUUACACAAUUGUCGGUAUGUUAGCUAUUAUCAGCCAAUAUGCAUUAAGCACUACUAUGUGCUGAGAGCCAUGGCAGGAAUAUCCCAGCUCCCAACUGCAGUGCUGUGUGCCAUCCUUCCCCAUGCUGCCAGUCAACUGUGCCUUCAUGAUGGCAGCCUCCAUCCUCGUGAUGGGUUGAUAAACUCCUGAGUCAGCUUGGAUAUAAUUCCACGGCUCCAAAAGGAGAAAAAGCAGCAAACGCAACAUGCUGUUAUGACUAACCAUUUUUGUAAUGAGGUGAAUGUUCUUCUCAGUACGUUCAUUCAAUUAUUUUGUAUUCAAUUAUACUUUGAAUAGGAGAAUUUACCUUACACUCUAGUGUGACUUUGUUGUUGUUGUUUUUUUUCCCACUGAAUCUGAAAUUAGGGACUGAUGUAUGUAAUUCACAGCAUACUUGGACUGGAAGAAAAUUUAUCACCAAGGUGAGCAAACAGAUCCAGUUUAGAGUUGGGACCUUGACUCAGCUUUGUGUAUAAUCCCUCAGCAACGUAGUACAAGAGCAGGAGGGCUGUGACAUUGUCCUGUGUCAUGUCCAGCCAUCACAAUAUUUGAAUAUGAAUGCAUUUUGUGUCUGUAAUACCUAGAACUCAAAUUGUGAAAAGUGGAACAGUAAAAAACCAAUGCAUCUAUAUAAACAAAAAUGUGAAUGUGGGUAUAAAACUUUCAUAAGAUCAGAGAGUUCUCUGAGGAAUUCCAAAUAAAUCUAGAAUUCAUGAGAAUUGGAAAACUAUAUAGGAA